rnacentral:lncRNA from 1 species
CUAGAAGGGAGUUGGUGAUUUACAUAUCUCUUCAUCCAAGGGUUCAUGAGAUAUUUAAUGUUAAAGAAUUAAAAAAUUCGGUUUCUCGAAUGUUGAAUUAUGUGUUCUGAAUAAUAUUUAAUAUGAAUCGUCGAUUUGAAAGCUUUAUCAGUGAAAAUGACUUGUAGUAAGAAAGCGAUCGUGCUUAUAAGAGUAUAAUAACUGAACUCAUAUGUAUAUAAAGGAAUUAUUAUAAAUAUUUGUCAUUGCACUAAAUAUUUAUUUACAUUUAUUUGAUGAUAUAUAAAGAAAUUAUUGUAAAUUCUAUAUGGUGUUCUAAGGAGUGAGGAAAAUAAAAAUAUUUUAUUUGCAUUUUGCUUUCAAACACUACCAUCCAUAAAUUAUAAGUAUAGAAUAAAUUGAUUAUUAUUCUGUGGAACAUUUACUCUUAUAGUGAGCCAUACUUUUAACAUAACUAUUUUUAUUAUGACUAAAAUACAGAAAAAUUUUUAUAAACAUAUGCUUUUUUUUAUCUUUUCGCUCUCAUUUUUAAAAAUCUAUAUUUUGCCCUCUUAAAAUUUCAAAAAUAUUUUUAGGAGGACACGACGUUAACGAAGAGGGCAAAAUAACCAAAUCGCCCUUAUUUCUUCUAUUAAAAAAAUAAAAUUUUAAUAUAUUUCUAUUAUUUUGAAGGGCAUUUUCGGUAUAAAUCAUAAAAAAUUGACAUAAUAGAGAUGGAACCCUGACGGGGGGAGCUAAAUGUAACAACUUGAUAUGUUGAGGGGUAAAAUGUAAAUUUUUAAAUAUUAGAAAGAGAAAGUAAAAAAAUAAAUAUUUAUAAGGAGAUUUUUCACUACAACAGAAUUAUGUUAUAGGAACACAAGUUUGGGACACUUUUGUGUAAGUGCCCCUUUUAUGUCAAAACAUUUAAAAAAAUCUACUAAGGGCUAAGGCCUAAAUAUAAAGCUCAAUCCAACCAAAAAUAAAAGGUUAUUCUACUCAACCCACCCCACCCAGUCCAUUCAGCCCGAUUACAAACAAAAAGUAAAAAAAAAAAAAAAAAAUCAAUUACCGUCUCUCCUUCUCCGCUCACUAAAUCCACUGAAACCCUAGACGAAGAGCUCUUCGCUCUCCUCCUCCUCUGUCACCACAGCCAACGAGAUAGAGUUCCGGCAGUUGCUAAAUGCUUACAUAAGUAUUGAUAAAUUAGUAGCACUCUUUUUAAAUUAUACCGACACUCUUAAACUGUCAAUAUAUACUUAGCAACCCCACAUAUAGCAACAUUUUUUAAAAAUGUUGGUAAUUUAGCCAGCAAAAUUGAUAUUUAAAAAUGUCGCUAUAUAUUAUUUUUGUUGUAAUAUUCUUUCAUUUAGCCUUUUAUUAUUGAUAAAAAGAUAUAUAUUAAAUUCAGUAAUUAAAUAUAUCUAAAUUUGAUCACAAACAAUAAUUUUUUUAUUUUUUUUAUUCUAAAAGUAAAAAAAUUAUUUUUUUAACAAUUUGAUCCCUCAUCAUAACUCUAGCACAUGGUGAAACAUGUGAAUCCCACUAAUAACAUAAAACCCAUGUGAUUACUCUGACAUUUUUCUCAUGCAUUAUGUAUUGCUUGCAUUAUAUUAGAGCAGCAUAUAUGGAUUGAGUACACUGGUUACAGCACAAGGACAAGAGAAAUUAUAGCAUAUAUAUAUACACACUAGAAAAGUAUUAUUUGAAUAAAAUUAUUAAAAUAAUCAGAUAUUUUCUAAUUUAUUUUUUAUAAAUAUUUUUGUAUCUAAAUUUAUAGAACCUGACAUAGUGAUGAUAUAUUUCUAGGAGCAGGACUGUUGUGCUCCCGUGCUCCUGAGCCGUUUUCGAUGAUAAAAUUUUCGAAUCGAUGAUCGGUUCCGUUAGACUUGAUCUAGCGUAUUUGAAGAUUUUAGAAAAUAAUAUUUACGACUUUUUGAUAUCAUUUACCUAACAAUCAAAAGGAUUCAAAAUCAAUAAUUUUUAACGGCUGAAAAUAAAAAUUCUAUAAAAAGUUGUAAUAUAGCACUAAAAUUUUCGAUCAGAAAUAUUGAGCUUGUUGUAAAUAGUAUAAAGAAUUUUGUAGCAAAAUUUCAUCUGAUUUGAAUACUUCUAUACCGUUAAACUUGAAAACGGCAGAUAUCAAUCAUUAAAAAUUAUUGAUUUUGAAACUUUUCGAUCACUAGAUAAAUGAUAUCAAAAAAUCGCAAAAAUUAUUUUUUAGAAACUUCAAAUACGCUAGAUCAAAUCUAACGGAGCCGAUCGUCGAUUCGAAAAUUCCAUCAUCGAAAAUGGCUCAGGAGCACGGACGCCUUCGUACUCCUGAGAGCACAGCAGUUCCUGCUCAUAUUUCUAGUGUGAUUUAUCUGACAUUUAUUUUUAAUUUUUAUUUAAUUUAUAUAAUUUUGAGUUAGCAUUUCCAUGUCAAAAUUGUAUACAAGGGUGUGUGUGGUUACUCCUUAAAAUGGCCGAAAAAAAUUUUUAAGCCUGAAAAACUUUUUUUGGUUGUUUGGAUUAUGGUAAAAUGAUUUUCCUCGAAAACUUUUUUUACAUACUUGGAUGAAAACAGAGUUUUUCGGUUUCCGCCAUUUUUACGCGAAAAACGAAAACUCUUUACAAAAAACGCGGCUCAUCGAAGCGGGAAAAAACACGGUCCACGAGAAAAGCUUGUUCUCGUGGACCGCGUGAGAGGACCCACCAUGACCUCUCUUUCUAUAUAUAUACUAGUGAAUUACCCGCGCGAUGCUGCGGAUAUAAAAUUAUUUUUAUAAUAAAUUAUAUAUUUUUUAAUAUUUUUAUAUAGUUUUAUAAGUCUAACUAUUAAUUAAAAAAAUUAUAUAAAAAUAAUUAUGUGCAAAGUAAAUUUAUACAAUAAUUUAUUUUAUAAAAUUUAUAUGAAAAGAAUUUGAGAUAAAUCUAUCAAAAUAAUUUAAGAAAACCAAUAAAUAAAAAAUUGUAAACAAAAAUUUUUAAUAAAAAAUUAUCAUAUACACAUAGCUAUUUUCUAAAAUUUAGUCCUUGAAAUUAAAUGUUUACAUAUUUUUUAUACAGCGAUAUUUUUAUGAAUUAAAUUGUAUUAUUAGAUUAGAUUUUAUUACGCGAUUAUUACGCUAUUAUUAGAAUUUAGAGAUUAAAAUUUUAAAUUUGAAAAAGUUAAAAUUUGGAAUAAUAUAUAAUUUAAACAUAUAAAAUAUUAAAUUUUAAAAUUUAACUUUAAAAUUUAAACAUAUCAAAUUUAAAUUUUAUUAUAUAUAUAGAAGGAGAGAGAAAAGGAGGGGGGACACGUGUACUCUAAGGUCCCCAAACCCGCCUCCCCCCCCCCCCCCCCCCCCGCCUCCCCCCCCCCCCCCCCCCCCCCCCCCCCCACCCCCCCCCCCCCCCCCCACCACCCCCCCCCCCCCCCCCCCCCCCCCCCCCCCCCCCACCCCCCCCCCCCCCCUCGCCCGCCCCACCCCCCCCCCCCCCCCCCCCCCCCCCCCCCCCCCUCUUAAUGUAGUAAAUAAAAUAGAUAUAUAUAUAUAUAUAUAUAUACGUAUAAUUAUAUAAUAUAUUAUAUUAUAUAAUAGAAUAAGCUGAGAUAUAUUAUAUAGUAAAACUUUUUUUGACUAUCAAAUUCAACAGCCUUGGAUGAAAGUUGUAAAUUAGAUGUAAUUAUCAGCAUUAGAGUUAAGUGAUCCCCCUAUAUUGAGUGUCCUCACAGAAGUUAUAGUAUUAAUCCAAUGGUUUAGAAAAUGAUGAAAAGAGUUGAUCACCAAGGCUAAAAACUGCUAGAACAAUGGCAUUAUUCUACUAAUAGUUUAAUAAUAAUAAUUUAUAUUCAUUACAUAUUAUGUAUAUAUAUUUACAUAUUUUAUUAAUAAAGUAUAAACUUAUAAUAAUUAUUAUGUAGUAUGAUAAUUUUUUAUAUUAAUAAUAUAUAUAUAAUUAUGACAAAAUACAUACCAAUUUUUUCUAAUUUUAUUUUUCUUUUCUUUUCUUCACCAAAACUGCACGAAAAAGUUGUUUUUUUUUUAUAAACCAAAGCUAAAGAGCGUAAUAAUUUAUUUUCUCAGAAAAUUUUUUUUACAUCGAAAACUACUUUCACACGUUUUAUACGUGAAUCCAAACACCCCUUUAAGCACAAAAAAAAAAAAAAAAAAAAAAAAAAAAUGACCAUCUAACACAAGAACUUAUAUUAGGUUAUAAGUUUAUUUUUGAUUCUUCUACAUUUUUACUCUAUUUAUUAUUGGGGAUAAUUGCCUAUAUACCCCUCAUACGUUUGAAAAUAUUCGAUUUACCUCUACUUUUUUGUUCUUUCUAAAAUACCCCUCAUAUGUUCUACCGUUAUUACAAAAUACCCCCGCAGUUAUCUCUUGUUAAGUUAACUUAAGUUAAACGUGAGCUAAAUAACUAUCACAGUUAAAAAAAAUUAAAAUGUCAAUUUUGCACUUAACUUAAGGGCAAAUAAAAAAUAUUGGUGACGGUAGAGGGGUAUAUUAAAAAGGACCAAAAGUCAAAAUACUUUUUGUGCCCUUAACUUUAAGGGCAAAUAAGAAAGUCGGUAAUGGUGGAAGGGUAUAUUUGAAAGGACAAAAUAGAAAUUUUAUAGAGAUAACAGAGUUUAUUAAAAGAUUUUAACUCUAGAGAUAUAUUAGAAAUAGGUUGGAACGUAGAAAGGAUAUUUUCAAUUUUAGCCUUCUAAGAAGGAUAAAUCGAAAAGUCUGGAACUUUUUAUGGGUAUAUAAACAAUCACCCCUUAUUAUUGUUGGAAAGGUGAAUCCAUAUAUAACUUUAACCAGGGAUGUCAAUGGGUACGGAUACCCGAGAUUUUAUCCGAACCAAAACCCGAAUGAAAAGGAGAUAUCCGAUGGAUAUAGAUAUGGAUUCGGAUAUGGAUAUAAAAAAUAGAAACCCGACGGAUAUGGAUUUGGAUAUGGAUAUAAAAAAUAAAAACCUGACGGAUAUGGAUUCGGAUAUGGAUUUUGAUUAUACCCUACCCGAAUCCGAAUUUAUUUUGUAUUAUAUAUAAUAUAUAUAUAAAAUUUGAUGUUAUAUUUGAAUUUAUAUUUUAAAAAUUUAGAUUUAAUAUAAUAUAUUUUGAAAUAUUGAAAAAAGAAAUAACUGUUUCGGGUUCAAAUUUUCGGGUUCGGGUUCGGGUUCGGGUUCGAGUUUCGGAUUUUUGGUCGGGUUCAGGUUUGGUUAUGGAUUUUUAAAAUCCGUCGGGUUCGGGUUCUGGUUCAGGUCUUGAGUUUGGAGUCGGGUUCGGGUUCGGAUUUUUAAAAAUCCGCCCUGAAUCCGACCCGUUGACAUCUCUAUCUUUAACAAUAGAAAGGUGAUAGUAUGUACUCCUCUUAAUUAGUAGCUAUAAAUGUUUGGGCACACCCAUAAUAAUAUUUUGCCCAUUCUUAAAUAUCUCCUUCAAUCUUUCAUUUUUUUAAUUAAUAUAUCCUUAACUUUUGAUUUAAAUUUGAUUUUAAUGAAUAUAACCAAUGUUUUAUCGAAUGUACAAAAAAUUUCAGAUACCCACCUAUAUUUUAUCGAAUGUACACUUUAGUAUUCCGUUAUUUACAGAAUUUUCACUUUAGUAUCCAGUAAUUUUAAUUUUGUUAUUGAUUUAACCAGGAAAUAACAGGAAGAGAAAUAUGAAACUUCGGAAUACUUAAGUGAUACAUUUUUAAAUCAUAGGAUACUAAAAUGAGAAAGCGCGAAACUACAAUAGUGGUAUUUGAAGUUUUUCAAAAUUUAUAUAAUUCUAUAAAUAAAACUAUUUAUAAUUUUUUUAUUAAGGAUAAAAUAUAUAAAAUAAUCUCCUGAUCAUCCACGGUAAUGUAAUAUUUCCACUAAUCAAAAUUUUAUGAUAAUUUCACGAUUUCUAAAUAAUUUAAAUAAUUUAAAUAAAAAUAUAUAAAAUGAGGUUUUUUUUGCAUUUGGCCCCCUCAAAAUAGUUUUUUUCACAAAUAGUUCCAUCAAAUUUAUAAUUACAAUUUUGGCCCUAUCCCCGCCACACAUGUGCCACAUCAGCGCCACACAAGCUGGGUGGGGAGGGGCAUUAAAUUGAACACGAUGAAUCAUUCAUCAUAUUCAAAAUUUUAAACACGGUAAAUGAUUCACCAUGUUCCAUACUUAUACUUUUUUGUUUAAAACUUAUAUUUUUUCACAAUACAUAUAUUUCUUCCUAAGAUGCGGUAAAUGAAUUACCGUAUUCAACUUAUUCUAGCACCCCAACCCUUGCUCGCGUGGGGUCUAUGUGGCACCUGCGUGACAAGAAUUGGACCAAAAUUAUAAUUAUAAAUUUAAUAAAAUUAUUUAUUAAAAUAAUUUUUUUGAGGGAAAAAAUAUAAAAAAAAAAGGUCCUAUAAAAAGUUUUCAAAAUUUUUAUAUAUUGUCAAACUUUUAAACGAAUCAUCAUCAUGAGGAGCGGGAAAAGCAACUCACUUUCGAGGGCUUUACUUUUUGGAAAAGAUAGGAGUGACUGAUGCGAGGGAUUUGCUGACGGCAUUUUGGUAUCUCACGAAGUGGCAGUGCGGACAGUGCAGUCGCGCAGACUUCCGUCCCUCCCCACGUGACGCGCUGAGACUGCUGUCUGCCUCAGCCUUUUGCCCCUCAAAAACGGUUGGUUUACUUUCUGCCGGCCCAACACGGAGGGAAAUAUUGCCUGCACCCGGUGUAUCCGUACAUAUCCGUACAUAUCAUGAACCAUGCUUUAGAUAUUAUAUAACUGCUUGGUUGUUGUUUUGUUUUGUUUUUUUUUUUUACCCCAAGUGAAGUUCAGACGAAAGUAGACUUUUGAGUAAAUCAGAGUCCUGGAAAAAAUUAGUCCUCUUUCGCUGCUUGUUUUUGUGAAUCAUAAGCACUAACCGAUUAUUAUAAAAGUACGUGCUGAUAGAAAGAGCAUAUUCAUCACACUUAAGGGUUCAACCACAGCACUCAUGGGUUUUGAACUGACUCAACUUACCUAAACAUUAGAUUUAUUGUUGGGCCUCUGACCGUUAGGUCUCUUGUGGACCGCGGUUUACUCAAUUUAUUAGGCUCAGCCAAUUCAACUUAUUAGUCUCUCGAGUCUAUUAUUACGCACAUAAAGUUUGAUCUAUUUGAACCCAAUAAUAAAUAUCUAAUAGUUUUUAUAGCUUUAGCACUGAAGUUAUUCAGUUUUGCUAUUUUUUGGAUGGAAAGUGAAGGACAUAAAAAUUAAAGUUUCCCGACGUUAGUAUUUUAUUAUUUUUUAUCACUUUUUUGUUAAGUUAUGAUAAAUCAAAUAAUAACUGUGAAUAUUUAUGAUCGUAAACUACUUCAUAUUUCGUGAAAUGAGCAUAUUAAUGUUUUAAAAUUAAAAUUCAAUUCAACAGAUGCUAGAGAAGAGCUAUAACUCUGAUAUAGGAGAGGCACAAUGUAUAGUUACAAAAUAUAUAUAUUUUAGGAACUUUUCUUAAUUAGUUGUUAUCUUUCAAAUUUAUAGAUUAUAUCAAGUUCCUAUUCUAAGUUUGUGACGGUUCUAUAAAAUAAAUAAUGAGAAAUGAUUCGGUACUUUUUUUAAAAAAAAAUAAAAAAGAUCUUAACCGUUGAUUAAUAGAGGGUAAAAAUGUAACUUUAAUACUUAGCAGGUAAAAGGAUUAUUUUAUUCAAGGUUAGUUUGGUAAUUAAAUAAUACAAUAUUUAAAGAAACUUUUAAUUGAGGUCCUAAAUUUAUGCAUUAAUUAGUACUAAUUUAGGAAAUUAAUUGAUUAACCAAAUUUAUGAAAUUAUUAGGCAUUAAUUUAGGAACCUACUUUAAAUAUUUUAGUGUUUCUCAAAUUAUGCAUAAAUUUAAAUUAUAGAAAUUUUAGAAAUAGUUUUAUUUCUAAAUACGAUGAAUUUAAAUUUUAAAAAUUAAAUACUUAAAAUUUAAAAGUGAAAUUUAAAUUAGAGGAAUUUCAUAUUACUAUUUAAAAACUAAAUUUCUACCAAGAUUUAAAAUACAGUUUAUUCGCACCAGUUUAAAACGUAAUGCAUAAAAAACUUAGAGAGUAAGAUUUCUACAACUAGAUUUCUCUAGAGGAAUUUCAUAUUACUAUUUAAAUUUUAAAUUCAAUGAUUUAAAAACUAGAUUGAACCGAUUGAUUUGACUGAUCAGACUUUGACCUAUUCUAUCAAGAAUCUGAUUUUAACCUAUUGAACCGAAUAACAUUAAGAACAAUUUGGAACCGGUAAAGAUAAUAAAUAUUUUAAACAGAAUAAUAAUUUAACUGUUAGAGCUAAUAAAUAUUUUAAAUAUAAUUUUAAACAUAUAAAUUAAAAAGAUUAGAAUUAUUGGUGAGAAAAAAAAUAGUUAGGAAUUUGAAUUCGAAUCUGACUAACAAUCACAAAACUUAUUUCCGAACUCGACGGAUUUCAAAAAUCCAUAUCCAAAUUCAAAACUGACCAAUUUUUCGAAACCCAAAACCAAACCUAAACCAGAAGACUAGAAUUCAAACAAUUAUUUCUGUUUACCAUAUUUCAAAGUAUUUAUAUGAAACUUAAAUUUUUAAAAUAUAAAUUUGAAUAUAAUAUUAAAUUUUAAAUUUAAAAGUGAAAUUUAAAUUAGAGAAAUUUUAUAUUACUAUUUAAAGUUUAAAUUCAAUGAUCAUAUUGUCAAAUCAUUUGAAAUUUUCCUUAUAUGAAAUGUCAAAUUAUGAAAGGAAAGAUAGAGAGAGCAAAAGGAAACAAAGAAAAAAUAAAAAUUUUAAAAAUAUAGUAGAUGUAAAAUGACUAAAUUGCCCACGUAUUAAAAGACAAAAAUAUCCUUUUUUGAGGUACCUGGUGACCGGUACCUCUCCCAAAGUGACCUGCUAUUGCAGGUCACAAUUUAAAAAAAACUAAAUCUGAGUCGUUGAAUAUGCGUGAAUGAACGGUAACCAAAAAAAAAAAGUAUAGAAGCAUUACUCAUAAAUAAUUAUUUGAGGUAUAGUAAGAAAAAAAAUAUUAUUAACUUUUCUAGCUAGUUUGCUUGCCAAAAUAUUCUUUUCUCAAUUUUUUUUUUGACGAGAGUAGGUCCAUAGUAAUUGUUAGAUGUGUCACGAAAUUCGGCUAUCAGUUUUUGAUUCGGUGUCCCUAAUUUGCCGACAGCUUUAUGGUGCGACAAAUUUUUUUAAAAAAAUUAUGAAGAAAAAAAUAGAUGUGUGUGGUGUUAAAGAAACUCGAUAAGGAGCAAACAGAUCAUUUUCUAUUCUUUUGCCCUGGAGGCGUGACAACAUGUCGAAAUCUUCAUAAAUUAUACUCUCUUUUUCGCAUAGUGGAGUUUUCUGUUUGGGUAUUCCUAAUUCGCCGACAGCUUCGCGGUGCGGCAAAUUUUGAAAAUAAAAUUUACAAAGAAAAAAGUGGAUGUGUGUGAUGUCGAAGAAACCCGAUAAGGAGCAAACAGAUCAUUUUCUAUUCUUUUGCCCUAGAGACGUGACAACAUGACGAAAUCUUCAGAAAUUAUACUCUCUUUUUCGCAUAGUGGAGUUUUCUGUUUGGGUGUUCCUGAUUCGUCAACAGCUUUGCAGUAUGACAAAUUUUGAAAAAAAAUUUAUAAAAAAAAAAAAUGGAUGUGUGUGAUGUUGAAGAAACCUGAUAAGGAGCAAACGGAUCAUUUUCAAUUCUUUUGCCCAAGAGGCGUGACAGCAUGUGGGAAUCUCCAUAAAUUAUACUCUUUUUUUUCGCAUAGUAAAGUUUUCUUCUCCUUCGUCCGUAAUUUUUUUUACGUAAGUUUUAUAUUCUUUUUUAUUAUUUUGUUGUUUGUCUACUCUACAAUCGUCAUUUUUCGUUUCUAUUUGUGCGCUCCUUGUAACAAUAAUCAUAAUAUAUAUAUAUAUAUAGAAUUAGGCUGGAAUACUAUUAAUAGUAAAACGCUCUUUUUGCUAUCAAGUUUUUAACCCUUGGAUGAAAAAUUGCAGGAUCAUGAUGAUAUUAGUCGGUUAGAGUUGAGUGGUCCCCCUAGGGUUGAGUGGUUCCCACUGAGUUAUAGUAUUUAAUCCAAUAGUUAGAAAUAAUGAAAAGAGUUGAUUCAAAGGCUAAAAACCCGGUAGCAACAAUAGAAUUUUGCUACUAAUAGUAGCCCAGUCCAACUCUAUAUAUAUAUAUAUAUAUUAAUACAUAAUAUAAAACUUAGGUUUUGAUACUAUUAAUAUUAAAACGCUCAUUAUUUCUAUCAAUUUCUAACACCUCGAUGGUAAAAAAAUUGUACGGGUCAGAUAUAUAUACGUUAGCGUUUGAAUGUCCCGUGGUUGUGUGGUCCCCUGGGUUAUAGUAUAUUAAUACCAACGGUUAGAAAUAUAUGAGAAAUUGAUCCAUCAAGGCUAAAAACGGUACAAAAUGGGAUUUUGCUACUAUAGUAAGCCAAGUCCAACUCUAUAUGUAUAUA